UGGGGAAUAUUGCACAAUGGGCGCAAGCCUGAUGUAGCCAUGCCGCGUGUAUGAAGAAGGCCUUCGGGUUGUAAAGUACCUUCAGCGAGGAGGAAGGCGUUGUGGUUAAUAACCGCAACGAUUGACGUUACUCGCAGAAGAAGCACCGGCUAACUCCGUGCCAGCAGCCGCGGUAAUACGGAGGGUGCAAGCGUUAAUCGGAAUUACUGGGCGUAAAGCGCACGCAGGCGGUCUGUCAAGUCGGAUGUGAAAUCCCCGGGCUCAACCUGGGAACUGCAUCCGAAACUGGCAGGCUAGAGUCUUGUAGAGGGGGGUAGAAUUCCAGGUGUAGCGGUGAAAUGCGUAGAGAUCUGGAGGAAUACCGGUGGCGAAGGCGGCCCCCUGGACAAAGACUGACGCUCAGGUGCGAAAGCGUGGGGAGCAAACA
rnacentral:rRNA from 1 species